GAUGAACGCUGGCGGCGUGCCUAACACAUGCAAGUCGAACGGAGUUUUAUGAAGUUUUCGGACGGAAUAAAACUUAGUGGCGGACGGGUGAGUAACGCGUGGGUAACCUGCCUCAUACAGGGGGAUAACAGUUGGAAACGGAUGCUAAAACCGCAUAAGCAUACAUUGUCGAAUGGCAGAGUGUGAAAAAAUUUAUAGGUAUGAGAUGGGCCCGCGUCUGAUUAGCUAGUUGGUAAGGUAACGGCUUACCAAGGCGACGAUCAGUAGCCGGCUUGAGAGAGUGACCGGCCACAUUGGGACUGAGACACGGCCCAAACUCCUACGGGAGGCAGCAGUGGGGAAUAUUGCACAAUGGGGGAAACCCUGAUGCAGCGACGCCGCGUGAGUGAAGAAGUAUUUCGGUAUGUAAAGCUCUAUCAGCAGGGAAGAAAAUGACGGUACCUGACUAAGAAGCCCCGGCUAACUACGUGCCAGCCGCCGCCGUAA
rnacentral:rRNA from 1 species